CCGCGGCCCCCUGCGCCUGGGCCCCGGCGGCCUGAGGGUCCAUGCCGGCUGCCCACGGGUCGGCGCCCUGGACGCCGUGGCCCACGUGACGCACCGGCCCGGCUACCGCCCUGAGGAUCCGCCGUAGAGGGGCCAAUCAGAUCCUAAGGCUGGACGACUAGCUGGGAGCGAAACGCCAAGCGUGUCCUACGCGGCCCCUCGGGGUGUGCUCCAGCUUUAAAACCUCUUGUGGGUAAGACACAUCAGCAACCUAGUGACCUCUGCCUUGAGCUAAUGUCGUCUUCGAAGUUAAUCCAUUAGAAACCACGAUAGAUGAUUAAAACACAAACUACAAUGUGCGGUGGACACAGAAUACAGGCCACGACGCUUCUCAUAACCCUAACAUUCGGGGCUCCUGUAUUUUGACGCUCAACGCCUGAUACUCGACAACCUCAUUAUUUUCCUUUUUGCCUCGAAAGGUGGCUUCUGGGGAUAGGCAGGGCCUGAGCUAGGAACAACCCAAAUGGAAAGACAGCCUUCCCUGCCUUUCCCACAGUACCUAACCUCAAACAAAUCAGCUUAAAGUGUGCCCAUUCCAUCAACACAUGAGAGACCCUCUUCCUUCAUCCCCUCAAAGACUAUUGUUUGUACAGUACAAACGGCAUCUGUAAAAAUUUAGCAUAAAACUGACACACAAUGUUCAAUUUUAUGUUUUUUUCUCUAUGCAGAUGUUCCUACACAGGAGUCAGUGUCCCCAAGGCGAACUGCCUCUAGGUCAUUAAUGUCCAGUAGAACCUUCUUUAAUGGUGGAAAUAAAAGUUAUACUAUCUGUGCUGUCCAA